rnacentral:rRNA from 1 species
GGGAKCAAACAGGAUUAGAUACCCUGGUAGUCCACGCCGURAACGAUGAUCAUUAGUCGGUGGAGAAUCACUGACGCAGCUAACGCAUUAAAUGAUCCGCCUGAGUAGUAUGCUCGCAAGAGUGAAACUUAAAGGAAUUGACGGGGACCCGCACAAGCGGUGKUGAGCAUGUGGUUUAAUUUGAAGAUACACGGAAAACCUUACCCACUCKUGAMAUCCUUCGCAAAGCUAUAGAGAUAUAGUGGAGGUUAACAGAGUGACMGAUGGUGCAA